rnacentral:rRNA from 1 species
ACGCACGCUGGCGGCGUGCUUCACCCAUGCAAGUCGAACGGAAAGGCCCUGCUUUUGUGGGGUGCUCGAGUGGCGAACGGGUGAGUAACACGUGAGUAACCUGCCCUUGACUUUGGGAUAACUUCAGGAAACUGGGGCUAAUACCGGAUAGGAGCUCCUGCUGCAUGGUGGGGGUUGGAAAGUUUCGGCGGUUGGGGGUGGACUCGCGGCUUAUCAGCUUGUUGGUGGGGUAGUGGCUUACCAAGGCUUUGACGGGUAGCCGGCCUGAGAGGGUGACCGGCCACAUUGGGACUGAGAUACGGCCCAGACUCCUACGGGAGGCAGCAGUGGGGAAUAUUGCACAAUGGGCGGAAGCCUGAUGCAGCAACGCCGCGUGCGGGAUGACGGCCUUCGGGUUGUAAACCGCUUUCGCCUGUGACGAAGCGUGAGUGACGGUAAUGGGUAAAGAAGCACCGGCUAACUACGUG